rnacentral:rRNA from 1 species
GAUGAACGCUGGCGGCGUGCCUAACACAUGCAAGUCGAACGGACUUUUGAUGAAACCUAGUGAUUUAAAAGUUAGUGGCGGACGGGUGAGUAACGCGUGGGUAACCUGCCCUAUACCGGGGGAUAACACUUAGAAAUAGGUGCUAAUACCGCAUAAGCGCACAGCUUUGCAUGAAGCAGUGUGAAAAACUCCGGUGGUAUAGGAUGGACCCGCGUCUGAUUAGCUGGUUGGUGAGGUAACGGCCCACCAAGGCGACGAUCAGUAGCCGGCCUGAGAGGGUGACCGGCCACAUUGGGACUGAGACACGGCCCAAACUCCUACGGGAGGCAGCAGUGGGGAAUAUUGCACAAUGGGGGAAACCCUGAUGCAGCAACGCCGCGUGAGUGAAGAAGUAUUUCGGUAUGUAAAGCUCUAUCAGCAGGGAAGAAAAUGACGGUACCUGACUAAGAAGCCCCGGCUAACUACGUG